CACUUCACAUUGUUCUACAUGGGCUCAAUGCGAACUGAUAAGAAAUUUGAUAAAAGAGAGGAGUGACAACAAGCAAUAAUGGAGUGGCUGACUUAUAGCCUACGACGCAGUGCGAACAAUGUUUCAUGGUGAUAAAAGUAAGCAUUCAAGAACAUGAGACUGAAUUCAAUCUCGGGAAUCAUAGUUUUGGGCCCAUUACAUUCAUGUUCCAUAUUCAGUUACAUUUUGGUCGAAUUUUUACUCACAUCCCCUUAAGACACCCUAUAGACGACUUUUUACUUUCUUUUGAAUUUCCUGAGAUGGCCUUUUUUCACUGAUAUGUCGCGACGAUUCAACUUUGAGACACGGAUAUUUAAAGGGAAAAUUGCAUUUUUUUUCGAGCAAGAUGCGACCUGUGAUUACCCGGGGCCAAGAUUGGAAGAAGGCGAGAAGCUGAGGGGUUGUCGGGGGCUUUACCUGGGGAUGUGACUGAAGUUGUGGAGGAGGAGAGCUGCUGAUCCGAGCCGGAGGUUUGGUUCCCGCCGCCGCCCGCCGCUGCCGCGUUGCACUGGGCCGCCAGCUGGUUCUGCACGCUCUGCACUUGCGCCGCCAGAGCUUUCCUCGGGUCCUCCCACGUUGUGCUCCGCGUAAUGUGACUGAAACACACAAACAAAACCAACAAGUUUAGAAAUGAUAGUUACAAGCAGUGCUCCCAUUUCCCGGAACUGGUAUAGAAUUCCGGAACUUUUGAGAUUUUCCUGUAUUUUUCGGGGAAUUUUUGAAAUUUUCCGGAUCUUAUGCGUUAUCCGGAACUUUUUGGGGGCGUUUGAAAAAUGUAAGAAAAGCCCCGGAACUUUUGAAGGUAUGGAGUGGGAGGAUUGGAGCAAAAAAGUUCCGAGUCCCGGAACUUUCGACGGACAUGGAAUGAGAGCACUGGUUACAAGAUAGUAUAACAUCUGACAGUAAGAGUGCUGACAUUUCCAAGAAUUAGUUCCGAACUUUAGAACUUUUAUAAUUUCUCGCACCUUCAAAAAACAAGUAUGAGAAGAGUGACUUGCCGGCCGAGUUAUGGAUCAUGGAGCCAUACAAUAUAGUUCGUGGAGCCAUGCUUAUAGGUUCACGACCAAUAAAGUAUGGCUCAGAAAUCCAGUCAUCAAGUCAAGUAUUUAAAAUAGUCAAAAACGAAAAAUCAUAAAAAAAUGUUAUUUGUUCUAUUGUAAAACUAGCACUAUUUUGGAAUCUCACAUU